UACACCCACUGCAUACAAAGGACAGAAUCUGAAAGAACAGCAGCAUGCAAAAGCCCAAAUUUGUUGAAUUUUGUUUUUUUUUCCAAAUGCUUUUGUAAAAUUGUUUUGUUGUUGUGUUCGAACCAUUGUAAACUUUCAUAACAACCUGCAGC
rnacentral:ribozyme from 1 species